rnacentral:lncRNA from 1 species
UCCGUGGCAAUCCGCAUUCCUGCGGGAUUCAUCUGGCCCCGUCGCCCAGUGGUGCGGAGGCCUCCCCUUCAGCGCGGUAGUGUCUGUGGGUAUUGUUAUUGUCAGCUUACUGGAGCGUGUACAGGAACAGAACGAAGCCGCCGAGUUGAUAGGGCUUUGCGUCCCAGAGCCUCCUGCCCUCCGCCUGUAUUCAGAGCUGCGGGCUGCUUGUUUGUUCCUUGGCGGUGGAGGGUGCUAGUUGAGGCCAGACUUCGGGGUCUCCUGGGGGCCGUGGGACGACCAGGGGUGGCCCAGCUUGACAGCUUUCAGCUGGGAUCUGUGGAUCCCAGCGCUCACCAAUGUCGGCCCACGUGUAUUCGUUCAUGCCAUGGCCGGCUUCUUCCGCUGCAGUCUCUGGCCCGAGGGCUGCUGCUGCGGGACCGCCAAGGAAAGACGAGCUGUAGGUCGGCUGGUCCAGCUGCAGGCAGAAAUUCUGGUAGUAUCUCUGGGAAUAUGAAGAUGCAACUGCCCCCACCUUGCCUUCGAGGAUAUCAUGGGCCAGAAGGCAGAGUCGUUUUGAAUACGUGGUUCAUUGAGUACCCACUCUGGGCCAGUUGAUGGCUGCGAAGAGAGCAGAAGGGGUGCUGCUGUAGGAAAUCAAUGGCUCGGAAGACCACACUGAGGAAGGUGUGAGUUGAUACUGGAAGAUCUCCAGGUUUGAGGCAUCUUCAGAGGUAUAUGGUGGUUUUGUGUGUGUUGAGGGUGUGGUAGCGCAGCAGCUCCCUAGGGAAUUAGAAGGUUUUAUUGAACAUUUACCCUGUGACAGGCACUGCAGGCAUUCAGCGCGCAGUGUCAUCUUCAUUUUACAGGUGAGGAAAAGACUCAGGUUCAAGUAGAUGGUCAAGGCCAGUACUACCGGAAGGACCAUCUGGGGGUUCGGACACUGGUGGGGUGGGAUUUGCUGCCCCUUGCAAAUUGAGAG